GACAGAGGGUGCGAGCGUUAAUCGGAAUUACUGGGCGUAAAGAGCACGUAGGCGGUUUAUUAAGUCGGAUGUGAAAUCCCUGGGCUUAACCUAGGAAUGCCAUUCGAUACUGAUCAACUAGAGUAGGGUAGAGGAAAGUGGAAUUUCCGGUGUAGCGGUGAAAUGCGUAGAUAUCGGAAGGAACACCAGUGGCGAAGGCGGCUUUCUGGACCCAAACUGACGCUGAGGUGCGAAAGCGUGGGGAGCGAACAGG
rnacentral:rRNA from 1 species